CACUGGCAGAGGAAGAAGAAGAGGUAAACAAACAAAAACAACUUCAAACAUCUAAAUACAGGCUUUGAUUGAACUACAUACAACCCAUUGACCUUAUGUAGAGCCAUGUGUCUGUAAGAUUCACACACACUCAGUCAAACAAGGACUGUCAUGCCUGGGAUGGAGAGGAGAGAGGUUAACAUUACACAUUCUACCCACACAAGGACUCUCAUGCCUGGGAUGGAGAGGAGAGAGGAGAGAGGUUAACAUUACACAUUCUACCCACACAAGGACUGUCAUGCCUGGGAUGGAGAGGAGAGAGGUUAACAUUACACAUUCUACCCACACAAGGACUGUCAUGCCUGGGAUGGAGAGGAGAGAGGUUAACAUUACACAUUCUACCCACACAAGGACUCUCAUGCCUGGGAUGGAGAGGAGAGAGGUUAACAUUACACAUUCUGCCCACACAAGGACUCUCAUGCCUGGGAUGGAGAGGAGAGAGGAGAGAGGUUAACAUUACACAUUCUGCCCACACAAGGACUCUCAUGCCUGGGAUGGAGAGGAGAGAGGUUAACAUUACACAUUCUGCCCACACAAGGACUCUCAUGCCUGGGAUGGAGAGGAGAGAGGAGAGAGGUUAACAUUACACAUUCUACCCAC